GACGAAAGCUGACGGCGUGCUUCACACAUGCAAGUCGAAGGGCGUGGCGAACGGGUGAGUAACACGUGAGUAACCUGCCCUGUUCUUUGGGAUAAGCCUGGGAAACUGGGUCUAAUACUGGAUGGAUUGGGAGUGGCUCGCGGCUUAUCAGCUUGUUGGUGGGGUGAUGGCUUACCAAGGCUUUGACGGGUAGCCGGCCUGAGAGGGUGGUCUGUCAGUCUGGGCAUGAGAUACGGCACAGACGCCUACGGGAGGGAGCAGUGGGGGAUAUUGCACAAUGGACGAAAGUCUGAUGCAGCGACGUCGUGUGGGGGAUGAAGGCCUUCGGGGUGUAAACUCCUUUCGCCCGCGGAAUGGUAGUGGGUAAAGAAGCGCCGGCUAACUACGUGCCAGCAGCCGCGGUAAUAC
rnacentral:rRNA from 1 species